rnacentral:rRNA from 1 species
UUUCUGAUACCAGAGGUAAUGAUUAAUAGGGACAACUGGGGGCAUUCGUAUUGCGACGUUAGAGGUGAAAUUCUUGGAUCGUCGCAAGACGGACUAAAGCGAAAGCAUUUGCCAAAGGUGUUUUCAUUAAUCAAGAACGAAAGUUAGAGGUUCGAAGGCGAUUAGAUACCGCUGUAGUUCUAACCAUAAAUGAUGCCAGCCAGCGAUCCGCCGAAGUUUCAUAAUUU